ncrna:unclassified sequences RT-3 RNA
AUUACGGCUCUUGGCUGGGACGUGUUCCCUUAUCUGAUCCGUAGAGGAAUGCACCUUGCCUCUUGGCAAAAAAUAAAUUGGGUUAUAUUGUGUGGUAGGUUAAUUCUCGAAGCACAUAGAUUUC